rnacentral:lncRNA from 1 species
AUUCAAACUAAGAUGCAGCAAGCUGCAAAAAUAAAUAAACUUGCAUGGAAGCAAGAUUUCUAUAUUGUUUUUUAAAGAAAGCCCUUAAUCUUUCUACUAAGAAUCCAUUUGAAGAUAGUGCUCUGGAAAUAUUUGUCAUUUCUGUAUUUAUAGAAAUUCCAUUAUAAAUAUGUUCCUUUUUCAAAGAAACUAUAUUCUGGGAAAAAACAGUCUUCUAUAUACUACUUGGUCUACAUUUAAAGGGAAAAACAAGCAGAAUUUGAAGAACCCAAUUUCUGUCAUUGUUUUAUUUCAGAUAUAAGUAACUGGAAAGAAACUUUUAACCUUUGAUGUCUGUUUUCUGUUUUUUAUCCAGUAUUUUCCUUCCAUGUGAAUUCAGUUAUAUACUUGUAAGAAAUUCUAAAAUAGCACCUUACUUUUUUGGAAAUGAAUCUUCUAUAAAGAAAACAAAACAGAAAAAACAUUUUCAAAACCUCUUGAUAAUAAUUAACAUUUGCAUAAUAUAUGAAAAAUCUUACAUUUUCCUCCCAAACAAUAUUUAAUAGUUAUUUUAAUGUUUGUGUAAAUAAUUUAUGUAUAAUUGUGAUCUGAGUUGUAAAAGCUUGAUUCUGUGUAAGUCUUUGAAUUACAAUAAAUACUGCACACCCACUAAUUUGGGUUCUGCCAUUUUUAAGUUCAACUAAUGUAGUUUUGAAAUGAUAUAACAUGAAACAUGUAUAUAGUGUAUAUUGGCAUUUAUCUGUGAAAUUUUAUAUAUCUGGAAGUUUCUUCUCCC